rnacentral:lncRNA from 1 species
CAUGAAAGUAGAUCUGUUGGUGAAAGCUCCUGAGAGGAGCGGAGACGGAGAGGAAACGAGGCGCCGUCCCACUGAAAUCAGCAGGACUCUGGUGCUCUGAGGAAGGCAUACAUAUGCCUGGAUUGAGUUGAUAUUUACAGAAGGCUCCUUUUGAAUUGGCUUUUGAUUAUACACCUAUGUCAGAGGGUGGACAGUGAGACUCAGUGCGACUUGUUUCCACGUGAGAAAGAUGAUGAAAGAUUGCAAAGCUCCCCUUGCGAUUAAAACUGUUGAAACAGCUGGUAGCGGGUAGCCGUUCUUGCCGGGCUAUUUCCUGACAUCAGUCAGCAUCCAUGGGGCUGCUGCAGCCAUCGGAGCCCGAGGAGAGGUGGCCACGUCCUGGCUGUCCCCGCACCCUCGAGGAGCUGCCCGUGUCGUGCAGUGCACCCCAUUGCACAAGGGGUGAAUCUGGGCAGCGCAGCAGCAAAGCCACAGAACACACUGUCAAAAGCCAAUGAAUGCUGAAAUUAAGAGACUGUUGGAAAGUUGACCAAAAUGAGGAUUUGCAUUUAAAAAAAAAGAAACAGAGCACCUUCACCGCCUAAUGGGAAGGCUGAUGAGCAAGGUACAUCGUUUGAGGUGGUUUGUCCAGUGUGGAAAACUUGCUGGGGCAAAAAAAUGGUCUUUGAAUGUGCUGGUGUCAGUCUCCAUGUAUGGAAACUAGAUGUCAUCUGCUGCCAAGGCCUGCACAGAAAAAGCCACCUAGAACUGCAGCCCCUGCUGUUAGGCUGUGACCUGGGUAGUCAUCGGCAUUCAAGUCCUGGAAUGACUAUAUUAAAGUUUUCAAAGAUGUGUGCUCUUUCACAUGACCUGCCAAUCAUGUUGGAGCAGUGCCAUAAGCUCUGGACUAGCUGUAUCCUCAGGGGCACCAAGGAGAGGAAGACAGAGGAGAGUUGUGGGGUUGGAACUAUUACUUAUUUAUCUAAAGUAUUGACCUGA